AAAUGCUGUGGCUUACAUUAGCCUUCAUAGUCCCAUCCGGGGCAACUCCAGUCUGUAUCCAGUAGCAUCUCCGUCUCUCCAGCAACUGGUUGUAGAGAAAAUUAAGUUCAAUUGCAUGCGAAGAGCUCCAUGCCUAGGAGCCAAUGUCAGCUCUGUGCAGAUACAAGGUGAUGCUGAUUAUUUCAUCAACCAUCUUGGAAUUCCAACUGUGCAGUUGGCUUAUGAGGACAUCAAAACAUUAGAGGGUCCAAGUUUUCUCUCUGAGGCCAUUUUUCCUAAACAUGCAGCAAAAAUUGAAGAAGUAGAUCCAUCUUUCAACCUCCA